UACGUAGGUGGCAAGCGUUGUUCGGAAUUAUUGGGCGUAAAGAGCUCGUAGGCGGUGUGUCGCGUCGGCCGUGAAAACCUGGGGCUCAACUCUGGGCGUGCGGUCGAUACGGGCAUCACUUGAGUUCGGCAGGGGAGACUGGAAUUCCUGGUGUAGCGGUGAAAUGCGCAGAUAUCAGGAGGAACACCGGUGGCGAAGGCGGGUCUCUGGGCCGAUACUGACGCUGAGGAGCGAAAGCAUGGGUAGCGAACAGG
rnacentral:rRNA from 1 species